AUUAAAUGAGAGUUUGAUCCUGGCUCAGGACGAACGCUGGCGGCGUGCCUAAUACAUGCAAGUAGAACGCUGAAGACUUUAGCUUGCUAAAGUU
rnacentral:rRNA from 1 species